rnacentral:rRNA from 1 species
AUGUUCGGUUAAGUCCGCUAACGAGCGCAACCCUCGCUGUGUGUUACAAGUGUCACACGGAACUGCCGGUCAUAAACCGGAGGAAGGUGGGGAUGACGUCAAGUCAGCAUGGCCUUUAUAUCCUGGGCUACACACACGCUACAAUGGGAAGGGACAAUAGGUUGCGAAGCCGCGAGGCGGAGCCAAUCCAGCAAAACUUCCCUCAGUUCAGAUUGCAGGCUGCAACUCGCCUGCAUGAAGUUGGAGUUGCUAGUAAACGCAGGUCAGCCAUACUGCGUUGAAUACGUUCCCGGGGCUU